GACGAGGGGUCCUAGCGUUGUUCGGAAUCAUUGGGCGUAAAGGGUGCGUAGGCGGGUCUUUAAGUCAGGGGUGAAAUCCUGGAGCUCAACUCCAGAACUGCCUUUGAUACUGAGGAUCUUGAGUUCGGGAGAGGUGAGUGGAACUGCGAGUGUAGAGGUGAAAUUCGUAGAUAUUCGCAAGAACACCAGUGGCGAAGGCGGCUCACUGGCCCGAUACUGACGCUGAGGCACGAAAGCGUGGGGAGCAAACAGG
rnacentral:rRNA from 1 species